AUUUAAAUAGUUUAAUAAAAAUUUUGAUUUGUGGAAUCAAAGAUGUACUUUUUACUUUAAAUA
rnacentral:tRNA from 1 species